AAGGAAUAUUGGUCAAUGAACGCAAGUCUGAACCAGCCAUGCCGCGUGGAGGAUGAAGGUCCUCUGGAUUGUAAACUUCUUUUAUCUGGGACGAAACACUUCUUUUCUAAGAGGCCUGACGGUACCAGAUGAAUAAGCACCGGCUAACUCCGUGCCAGCAGCCGCGGUAAUACGGAGGGUGCAAGCGUUAUCCGGAUUCACUGGGUUUAAAGGGUGCGUAGGUGGGUAUGUAAGUCAGUGGUGAAAUCCCCGAGCUUAACUUGGGAACUGCCAUUGAUACUAUAUAUCUUGAAUACCGUAGAGGUGAGCGGAAUAUGUCAUGUAGCGGUGAAAUGCUUAGAUAUGACAUGGAACACCAAUUGCGAAGGCAGCUUACUAUGCGGUGAUUGACACUGAGGCACGAAAGCGUGGGUAGCAAACA
rnacentral:rRNA from 1 species